UGAGCAAUCUGCCCUUCUCAUCGGAAUAAGCGUUGGAAACGACGUCUAAUGCCGAAUACGACCUCCUUUCGCAUGAUCGGAGGUGGAAAGCUCCGGCGGAGAAGGAUGAGCUCGCGGCCUAUCAGCUAGUUGGUGUGGGUAAUGGCCACAAGGCGACGGACGGGUAGCCGGCCUGAGAGGGUCGACCGGCCACACGUGGGACUGAGACACGGCCCAGACCUCCGUACGGGAGCAG
rnacentral:rRNA from 1 species